CUCUAUUUCCCUCCCCUUCACUGGCUCCACCCUCCUCCCUCCCACCUAAUAAGGAAACACUUUCUGGAUUUUUUGUCCUUCCCACAUUAUCUCCAAGACCUCGCCUUCCCAAAACCUCAUCUGUCCGAGGCUCUGGGUACUGUCCCGGAGUAACAGUGAAUUUGAGGUCUGCAGGGAGACACUUUUGCAUAUGUGUGUGUAGCCUUUUGUAAAGUGCCUGUGUGGAUCUGGUUUUCACUGUUUAGCAAACAGGAUCACCUGGGCCUUGUUUAUCCCAUUACUUUGUUAUGAGACUUUUAGUUUGGCUGGCAGAAUUCAGCCAGAGAAUGCCCUGUGCAGGCGCAGAGAAGGAUUGCAAAGUGCCAGGGGUGGGUGACUGGUUAACCAUUUACUUCCCUCCCAGGGAGGACAGCAGAAAAGAGGCCCCAGCUGCUGCCCACUCCUGCCCACAGCCUUGGUGUUCCUGAUCCAGCACGUUGCCAUCAUCCUCGCCCCAGAUACCAGCCAAGGAGGCUGGAAGGCCAACCAAGCUCCAACCACUGGGCGUCCCAUCGCAGCGUGGCUUUACUGCUAACGUUGGCAUUGCUGUUUGUGCCAGGGGUUCUGUUCAAAACCAAGCUCUUAGAAGAAUUUGGAGGAAAUUAUGACUGCAACCAUGUCUUUGUAAGUGUUAUCUUCUAAGGAAGAAUUUAUAGACUUUGGAGUAAUCCGUAACAACUCUACAUUAAAUUUCCCCCUCAUUUUGGGUUUUUGUUUGUUUGUUUGUUUUUGAGAGGGAGUUUUAUUCUUGUUGCCCAGGCUGGAGUGCAGGGGCACAAAUCUCAGCUCACUGCAACUUUCAUCU
rnacentral:lncRNA from 10 species